GGGCCCGCACAAGCGGUGGAGCAUGUGGUUUAAUUCGAUGAUACGCGAGGAACCUUACCAGGGCUUAAAUGUAGAACGACCGAUUUGGAAACAAGUCUUCUCUUUGAGCGGUCUACAAGGUGCUGCAUGGUUGUCGUCAGCUCGUGCCGUGAGGUGUCGGGUUAAGUCCCUUAACGAGCGCAACCCCUAUCUCUAGUUGCCAGCGGAUAAUGCCGGGGACUCUAGAGAAACUGCCCGUGCAAACGGUGAGGAAGGUGGGGAUGACGUCAAAUCAUCACGGCCCUUACGUCCUGGGCUACACACGUGCUACAAUGGUCGGUACAGAGGGCAGCUACCACGUGAGUGG
rnacentral:rRNA from 1 species